UACAGAGGGGGCAAGCGUUAUUCGGAAUUAUUGGGCGUAAAGGGCGCGUAGGCGGCUUGGCAAGUGGAAGGUGAAAUCCCUCGGCUUAACCGAGGAACUGCCCUCCAAACUGCUUUGCUUGAGGCCGGGAGAGGCGAGUGGAAUUCCCAAUGUAGCGGUGAAAUGCGUAGAUAUUGGGAGGAACACCAGUGGCGAAGGCGGCUCGCUGGACCGGUUCUGACGCUGAGGCGCGAAAGCGUGGGGAGCAAACGGG
rnacentral:rRNA from 1 species